CGAGAAUGUUCACCUAAAAUGGCUCAAUAUGAGGAUCCCAGCACUUGGGCGUCAUAACAGAACAAAAUCCAGGUCCGGCCCAACUCCAAAGAGACAGAGCUUUUAGCUAGGUUUUGCUGCAACCGAGAGAGAUUCUUCCUGCCAAGUGCUUCCCUAUAAAUCUUUAAAAACCCUAAUGCCUUUGUUUUAGCAGAUCCUCCAUUUCUCGUAGCCGCUCAAACACCGUCUUUAACCAAAGAGGUCAAAAUGACAACCCGAUUCAAGAAGAACCGGAAG
rnacentral:misc_RNA from 1 species